AGGAGCCGUAUGAGGUGAAAAUCUCAAGCACGGUUCUAAAUGGGAGGGGAGGUCGGUGACGAUCUUCUCGACCCCUAA
rnacentral:ncRNA from 1 species